AUUGAACGCUGGCGGCAGGCCUAACACAUGCAAGUCGAGCGGAUGAAGGGAGCUUGCUCCUGGAUUCAGCGGCGGACGGGUGAGUAAUGCCUAGGAAUCUGCCUGGUAGUGGGGGAUAACGUCCGGAAACGGGCGCUAAUACCGCAUACGUCCUGAGGGAGAAAGUGGGGGAUCUUCGGACCUCACGCUAUCAGAUGAGCCUAGGUCGGAUUAGCUAGUUGGUGGGGUAAAGGCCUACCAAGGCGACGAUCCGUAACUGGUCUGAGGGGAUGAUCAGUCACACUGGAACUGAGACACGGUACAGGCUCCUACGGGAGGCAGCAGUGGGGAAUAUUGGAAAAUGGGCGAAAGCCUGAUCCAGCCAUGCCGCGUGUGUGAAGAAGGUCUUCGGAUUGUAAAGCACUUUAAGUUGGGAGGAAGGGCAGUAAGUUAAUACCUUGCUGUUUUGACGUUACCAACAGAAUAAGCACCGGCUAACUUCGU
rnacentral:rRNA from 1 species